AACGAACGCUGGCGGCAUGCCUAACACAUGCAAGUCGAACGAGACCUUCGGGUCUAGUGGCGCACGGGUGCGUAACGCGUGGGAAUCUGCCCUUGGGUUCGGAAUAACUUCGGGAACUGAAGCUAAUACCGGAUGAUGACGUAAGUCCAAAGAUUUAUCGCCCAAGGAUGAGCCCGCGUAGGAUUAGCUAGUUGGUGAGGUAAAGGCUCACCAAGGCGACGAUCCUUAGCUGGUCUGAGAGGAUGAUCAGCCACACUGGGACUGAGACACGGCCCAGACUCCUACGGGAGGCAGCAGUGGGGAAUAUUGGACAAUGGGCGAAAGCCUGAUCCAGCAAUGCCGCGUGAGUGAUGAAGGCCUAGGGUUGUAAGCUCUUUACCCGGGACUGAUAAUGACAGUACCGGGAGAAUAAGCUCCGGCUAACUCCGUGCCAGCAGCCGCGGUAA
rnacentral:rRNA from 1 species